CCUACGGGUGGCAGCAGUGGGGAAUAUUGCACAAUGGGGGAAACCCUGAUGCAGCGACGCCGCGUGAGUGAAGAAGUAUUUCGGUAUGUAAAGCUCUAUCAGCAGGGAAGAAAAUGACGGUAACUGACUCAGAAGCCCCGGCUAAAUAUGUGCCUGAAGCCGCGGUAACACGUAGGGGGCAAGCGCAAUCCGGGGUUACUGGGUGUAAAGGGAACGUAGGCGGCCAGACAAGUCAGAAGUGAAAGCCCAGGGCUCAACCCUGGGACUGCUUUUGAAACUGCCGGGCUGGAGUGAAGGAGAGGUAAGCGGAAUUCCUGGUGUAGCGGUGAAAUGCGUAGAUAUUAGGAGGAACACCAGUGGCGAAGGCGGCUUACUGGACUGUAACUGACGUUGAGGCUCGAAAGCGUGGGGAGCGAACAGGAUUAGAUACCCGAGUAGUC
rnacentral:rRNA from 1 species